GACGAACGCUGGCGGCGUGCUUAACACAUGCAAGUCGAACGAAGUGGCGAACGGGUGAGUAACGCGUAAUCAACCUGCCCUUCAGAGGGGGACAACAGUUGGAAACGACUGCUAAUACCGCAUACUGAAGGAGGGGAUUGCGUCUGAUUAGCUAUUUGCAGGGGUAACGGCCACCCAAGGCGAGGAUCAGUAGCGGGUCUGAGAGUAUGACCGGCCAAAUUGGGACUGAGACACGGCCCAGACGCCUACGGGAGGCAGCAGUGGGGAAUCUUCCGCAAUGGACGAAAGUCUGACGGAGCAACGCCGCGUGAGUGAUGACGGCCUUCGGGUUGUAAAGCUCUGUUAAGCGGGACGCGGUACCGGAAUAGAAAGCCACGGCUAACUACGUGCCAGCAGCCGCGGUAAUUC
rnacentral:rRNA from 1 species